rnacentral:lncRNA from 1 species
GAGAUAACGUAGGGCAGAUCCUGAGGGUGGACUCCGUUGCCUCGUUAGGGAGAAGUCUCUAUAGCAUCUUUCUACACUAGAGGAAGAUUAGCCCUGAGCUAACAUCUGCUGCCAAUCCUCACCUUUUUUUCUGAGGAAGACUGGCCCUGAGCUAACAUUCGUGCUCAUCUUCCUCUACUUUAUAUAUGGGACGCCUGCCACAGCAUGGCUCAACAAGCAGUGCAUGGGGCUGCACCCAGGAUCCGAACUGCUGAACCCCGGGCUGCCGAAGCAGAACAUGUGAACUCCACUGCUGCACCAGCAGGUGGGAGUCAAGAGAGUGCACACAGAAUAUAAAGCCCCUUCUCAGGAACACAUUUAAAAGCCUGACGUGUCCUGUCCAGCAUGUGUUGUACAUCUGCUUUAAACAUUUACAACAUCCCAAAGCCAAAAGUGAUGCCCUUAAAGACAGAAAUGUAUGCCUCCCCCUAUAUCAGCAUUUCUUUGAAGAUAAGCAUUUCUUCCCAGAAACUAAGGGCCAAACUGACCUACUGUGCUCAUCUUUGACCACUGACUGCUGUGCUAGCAAAACGUCUUAUGACUGUAGUAAGAGAGAUGUUCCUAUCAUACUUGAUGUAUGUUCCUUGUUCCAAGAAGGUAUAGAGGCAUACUGUGCACCUCGCUUCUUCAGAGUGCUUCCUUCCUUGGUGAAGGUGUUCUCCUGGGCAAUAUAGACCUCAAAACUGGCUCAUAUGAUAAAGUCACCCCAAUUUUGAUUUAUAGAUUGAUUAUUUAUUAUUUGCAUGGAUAGGUAUAUUUGAAAGUUGCUAAGAGAGAAAACCCUAAAAGUUCUUAUCACUGAAAAAAAAAAAUUUGUG